GAGAGGACCGGAGUGGACGCAUCACUGGUGUUCGGGUUGUCAUGCCAAUGGCACUGCCCGGUAGCUAAAUGCGGAAGAGAUAAGUGCUGAAAGCAUCUAAGCACGAAACUUGCCCCGAGAUGAGUUCUCCCUGACUCCUUGAGAGUCCUGAAGGAACGUUGAAGACGACGACGUUGAUAGGCCGGGUGUGUAAGCGCAGCGAUGCGUUGAGCUAACCGGUACUAAUGAACCGUGAGGCUUAACCUUACAACGCCGAAGCUGUU
rnacentral:rRNA from 1 species